rnacentral:rRNA from 1 species
AGUCGUGGGGCAGCAGGUCCCGCAGCAAUGCGGGAUGCUGGCGACCGGCAAACGGGUGCGGAACACGUACACAACCUUCCUUUAAGUGGGGAAUAGCCCAGGGAAACUUGGAUUAAUACCCCGUAAUAUAUAGAAGUGGCAUCGCUUUUAUAUUAUAGCAGCAAUGCGCUUGAAGAUGGGUGUGCGGCUGAUUAGAUAGUUGGCGGGGUAACGGCCCACCAAGUCGACGAUCAGUAACUGGUGUGAGAGCACGACCAGUCACACGGGCACUGAGACACGGGCCCGACUCCUACGGGAGGCAGCAGUAAGGAAUAUUGGUCAAUGGACGCAAGUCUGAACCAGCCAUGCCGCGUGGAGGAUGAAGGUCCUCUGGAUUGUAAACUUCUUUUAUUUGGGAAGAAACCCAUCUUUUCUUGGAUGGCUGACGGUACCAGAUGAAUAAGCACCGGCUAACUCCGUGCCAGCAGCCGCGGUAAUACGGAGGGUGCAAGCGUUAUCCGGAUUCACUGGGUUUAAAGGGUGCGUAGGUGGGCAAGUAAGUCAGUGGUGAAAUCUCCGGGCUUAACCCGGAAACUGCCAUUGAUACUAUUUGUCUUGAAUACUGUGGAGGUCAGCGGAAUAUGUCAUGUAGCGGUGAAAUGCUUAGAUAUGACAUAGAACACCAAUUGCGAAGGCAGCUGGCUACACAAAUAUUGACACUGAGGCACGAAAGCGUGGGGAUCAAACAGGAUUAGAUACCCUGGUAGUCCACGCCCUAAACUAUGGAUACUCGACAUACGCGAUAAACUGUGUGUGUCUGAGCGAAAGCAUUAA